rnacentral:misc_RNA from 1 species
AUUCUCAGUAGGGAGGAAUAAAUAUGGCCGCCUUAAGUUUUCCGUAAAUUUUGGUGUGUAAUAUGUGACAAGUGUUUAAAAAGUGUUAUAAUUCGCAAAAGAUUUAAUAAUGUCCUUAGCUUAUAAGGAAUUAUUAUGAAUCUAAUAUUGUAACUAAAUUCAACAUGGGAGAUACGAAUGGUGGCAAUACUACUGCGGCUGCGGCGGAGUGCCGUCUUCGACAACUGGAAACCCUCUAUUUGGGAGGGCCUUUAACGGCUCAUGGACAAGCAUUCAGCAUAGAAACUCUAAUUGACGUAUUGCUAGUUUUGUAUGAUGAGUGUUCCAAUUCGAGUUUGAGGAAAGAAAAGACGGUGUCAGAUUUUUUGGAAUAUGUUAAACCAGUGGCAGGUUCAGCAAAAUCUCUACGUCUGACGCGAGAAGACUUCGAUGUAGUGAAAGUUAUCGGUAGAGGCGCUUUUGGAGAAGUAUGUGUUGUGAAACUUCGUGGUUCUGAAAAAGUAUUUGCCAUGAAAAUUUUAAAUAAAUGGGAAAUGUUGAAACGAGCGGAAACAGCGUGCUUUAAAGAGGAAAGAGAUGUAUUGGUAUAUGGAGAUCGCCGAUGGAUAACACAUCUACAUUAUGCGUUUCAGGAUGAUUCAAAUCUGUAUUUAGUAAUGGAUUACUACUGUGGUGGGGAUUUGUUAACUUUAUUAAGUAAAUUUGAAGAUCGUCUUCCAGAAGAUAUGGCUAGGUUUUAUAUUGCCGAAAUGGUUCUGGCCAUUGAUUCAAUACAUAGGCUUGGAUAUGUUCAUAGGGAUAUAAAACCAGAUAAUGUUUUAUUAGAUGCAAAUGGUCAUAUUAGAUUGGCUGAUUUCGGUAGUUGUUUGAAAUUAAACGAUGACGGUAUGGUGCAAUCAAAUGUAGCUGUAGGAACACCUGAUUAUAUAUCUCCAGAAAUAUUACGAGCAAUGGAAGAUGGUCAAGGUCGUUAUGGUCCAGAAUGCGAUUGGUGGUCUUUAGGUGUAUGUAUGUAUGAAAUGUUGUUUGGUGAAACUCCGUUUUAUGCAGAAAGUCUAGUCGAAACUUAUGGUAAAAUUAUGAAUCAUAAAAAUUGCUUUGAUUUUGCUAUGGACGUAGAUGUAUCAGAUCAUGCAAAAGAUCUUAUUAAACGAUUAAUAUGUAGUCAGGAGUUUAGGUUAGGACAAAAUGGUAUUGAAGAUUUUAAGAAACAUCCGUGGUUUGAAGGCUUAGAUUGGGAUGGAAUAAGAGACAGUAACGCGCCUUAUAUUCCGGAAGUAUCGAGCCCCACCGAUACGUCAAAUUUUGAUGUUGACGAUGCAGAUAUAAGACUUUCCGAUGCUCUUCCUCCUACAGCAAACAAUGCUUUUACAGGGUUGCAUUUGCCAUUUAUUGGGUUUACGUUUACUCAAGGGAGCUACAUCUGCGACUUGAGUAAUUUAUAUUCAUUUAUUUCUUCAACUGCAAAUUAUAUAAUGGAGAAACAGAAUCAGAAAAACGAUUUAAUAUCUUUAGGGAUGGUUUCAAAUCAGCAGCGACCAGAAAAAGAAGUGGAAAAACAGAGAAGUUCGCCGGACGGAACUAGAAAACUGCAGGAUGAAAUUAAUAUGCUGACGAAAAAGAACUGUGAAUUGGAAUCUCAAUUAAGAAGUUUGGAAGCAUCAGGUCAAUCGCGGGAUAUGCACAUAGAUUAUUUAGAUGGAACAGAAAACGGCAAAUUGAGAGAACUUGAAAAACUAGUUCGGGUUUUAAAACAAGAAAAGGAGGAAGCACAUAAAGAUAAACAAGAUUUACAAGAAAAACUUAAAUUUCAAGAUAAAGAAUUAAAGGAUGCUUUAGCUCAAAAGAAAUUAGCGAUGGCGGAAUACACUGAAGUUACGGAUAAACUGGCUGAAUUAAGGGCUCAGAAACAAAAGAUUUCUAGACAAGUUAGAGAUAAAGAAGAGGAAUUGGAGAACGUAAUGCAAAAAGUAGAUUCGCUGCGAAAUGAUAUAAGGAGAGCAGAAAAACUUAGAAGAGAACUAGAAUCCAGAGUGGAAGAAGUUCAAGCAGAAGCCAUAAAGGAAAGGAAAUUGAGAGAACGAUCUGAAGAAUACUGUAGGCAGAUGCAGGCUGAGUCAGAUAGGUUAAGAGUUAGAAGUGAACACAGUCCAAGAGAUCAACAGGAUUCCCUGAGGUUACAAGCUGAACUGGAAAAACUAGAGGUUCAGUAUAAUGAUAGUUUAACACAACAGCAAGCUAGAUACAAUUUGGAAUUAGCUACUCUAAGAGAACAACUUCAGGAAGCAGAAUCACACAGAGAUAUUUUAGAAAGAGAGCUUAAGUCCUUGAAAGACAAAUGGGAGAAAUCCAAACUUGAUGCUAUUGCUGACACUGAGCAAACAUUAGCAGACUUGAGUAGGCGGCAUGAAAGAGAUAAGCAAAUAUUAGUGGAUGAGAACAAAAAGCUUAAUUCAAAUAAUGUGUUUUUGACAGAUUCAGUUAACCGAUUACAAAGUGAAAGAGCUAAUUUGGAAGCUGAAUAUGAAACACUCCGAACUAAGCAGGAUGCUCUUAAUCAGUGGGAAUUACAACUUUCUGAAAUUAUUCAAUGGGUUAGUGACGAAAAGGACGCCAGAGCCUAUCUUCAAGCUUUAGCUACCAAAAUGACUGAGGAAUUGGAUUAUCUUAAACAUGCAGGUGCAUCGAAUACCAUUGGUGGCGCAGAUAAGAAUUGGAGAAACAGAAGAUCUCAAAAACUUGACAAGAUGGAAUUACUUAACUUACAAAGUUCAUUACAAAGUGAAAUACAAGCAAAGCAAGCAAUUAGCGAGGAUCUUAGUAAGACCAGAGAAGCUCUUUUAGCGGCACAAAAGGAUCUUCGCGAAAACCGACAACGAAAUGAAGCCUUAGCGCUAGAACUGAAACGAAAAGAGAAACAUAUCAAAGACCUUCAAAACCGGCUCGAUUCUGAUGGAUUUUUGGAGCGUCCUUCAUCGCAGAUGUCUUAUUUAGAACAAUUUCUUAAGGAGACGAAUUCUCAAUCUCAGAAUGUGUAUGACAACGUGUCUGCUCACCAAAUUUAUCAAGGGACGUCAAUAGAGUCAGAGGAAGGCGAUAUCGAAGACAAUAGGGCACCUAGUAUAGUUAGUUCUAAAAGUAAUUUAUCUGAACUCAGUAUGCGUGAAUCUCAAUCGCCAAUGAAACACAAGGCUCACCAAUUUUUGGUCAGAACAUUUUCUAGUCCAACAAAAUGUAGUCAUUGUACAUCUUUAAUGGUGGGAUUAAUGAGACAGGGAAUGGUUUGUGAAAUUUGUGGAUUUACUUGUCAUACUGCAUGUUGUCCACAUGUACCAGCAGUAUGUCCUGUACCGCCUGAUCAAACCAAAAGACCUCUUGGGAUUGAUCCAACGAGAGGUAUUGGAACAGCCUACGAAGGAUACGUUAAAGUUCCCAAACAAGGAGGCGUUAAAAAAGGUUGGGUGCGUCAAUUUGUGGUGGUCUGUGAUUUCAAGUUGUUCUUAUAUGAUAUAUCAGCGGAUCGCAAUGCCUUACCCAGUGUUCAUGUAGCUCAGAUUCUGGAUAUGAGAGAUCCACAAUUUAGUGUCAGUAGUGUUAGGGAUUCUGAUGUAAUUCAUGCUAAUAAAAAGGAUAUUCCAUGCAUUUUUAAGAUAACAACGUCAUUAAUGGAACCACCUGGUCCAAGAAAUGCAAUGUUAAUGUUAGCAGAUUCCGAAGCGGAGAAGAAUAAAUGGGUAGUUGCUUUAGCUGAAUUACAUAGAAUUAUGAAAAGAAACAAUUUACCUAAUACCAUAGUGCUUUUAGCUAGAGAAUUAAUAGAUAACUCUCUAACAUUGUUGAAAAAUACUCUAAGUGCUGCCAUUAUUGAUCCAGAUAGAAUUGUAUUAGGAACUGAAGAAGGGCUGUAUUGUAUAGAUUUAGACAGAAGUGAGAUAGCUCGAAUAGGUGAAGCAAAGAAAAUUUUUCAAAUAGAAUAUAUAGUAGAAGAGCAUUUAUUGGUUGUUGUUAGUGGGAAGCAGAAGCAGGUGCGAUUAGUGCCUAUUAGGGCUUUAGAUGGUGAUGAAGUCGAAUGGAUUAAGGUGACAGAAAGCAAAGGGUGUUCUGUUCUUACAGUAGGGCCUAUUUUAAUGGCGCCACUUACUUUUGUUUUGUGUAUUGCUAUUAAAAAACAAAACUCUUCAGUGAUAGUUAUUUAUGAAAUUACGAGAACAAGAACGCGUCAUCAAAGAGCUCAUGAGAUUAGCAUUCCAAUUAAUGUGCAAUCGCUUCAACUUUUCUCUGACGGAAAAUUAUGCGUUGGAUCGCCAUCUUCUUUUACGAUAUAUAAUAUUCAAAGUGGAGAAUUAACUAUGUCUUUACUUCAUCCAGAAAAUCCACUUUGCGCUACGUUAUCAUGUAGUUCGGUCGAAGCUCUAAAAGUAAUAGAGUUGCCAAGAAGAGAAUAUCUUUUAGUUUUUAGUACUUUGGCUGCUUAUGUGGAUAAGCAUGGUCGUAAGUCCAGAGACCGAGAGAUAAUGUAUCCUGCGGUGCCGACAGCAGUUGCUUACAGAGAUGGUCAUUUAGUAGUCUAUAGUGAAACUCAUAUAGAUAUAUUCAAUUGUGCUACUGGUGAAUGGGUCCAAACGUUAAAUAUUAAAAGAUCGAAACCUUUGAAUGACAGUGGCAGUCUGUCUUUGUGUGUUUUACACGAUUUACCUCACCUUUUAUAUUUGUCAAAUGUUCAUCAGCGAGAGUUAAUUAAUUUAGAAAACAUAGUAAGUUUGGAUAAUGAAGGCAGAGUUAUACAAAAACCUAGAAGAAGGUUUUCUCUUAGAGAAGGAAACCGUUCAAGUAGAUUAAAUACCGAUAGAUUAUCCAAGCUAAUAUCAGCUCCCACCAAUUUUAACCACAUAAGCCAUGUGGGACCAGGUGACACUAUUCAGCAACAGAGACUGAUUGACUUACCUACUUCUUUAGUUGAUCAACAUUCCGACCAAAUAUCAUAUGGUGCACCAGCUAUUCAAGCUAGGCCGAUCAAACAGGCUCCCUUACCGCCUGUUCCGUCUGGUAAACAGCGUCCCUGGUUAGAAAUUUCCAACCCGAUGCCUAUACGUACCCAACCACCCAGCUAUAAUGGUGCGAAAAGAGCAGCACCACCGCGGCCGCGAGAUUUGCCGCCAGCUCUGCCUCGUCCAACUGAAACGUCGCUUUCACCGGAUCCAGCUAGUAUAGGAAGUAUGUCUUCCUUACAUGAUAUGAUUAAGGUAGGACAGCACAAAACCACUUUAUGACAGAUAAGGAAGAUAAAGAAAAACCUAUUUACUGUUUGUGUCCAUUCUACAUAGGUUGGAUUAUGAUGAAUGGAUAUUUACAUGCAACGGAAAACAGAAACAGCCCUCGUCAUUCUAUAGCAAGCAACAACAGUUCAAAUAUAUCUACGCCGCCUUCUCCUCAUGCAGACCAUCACAGUUCAAGCUAUGACAGUUAAAAGGAG